CUAUUUUAAACAUGUGACAAGUGGUAUGACACUGUAUUGAUGUAUGUGAAAUGUAUAGAGUCUUUCAGUUAUCAGAUAAUGUCAAGGAGUUGACAGCAUGGUGUCCGAUUUAAAGUACGAACCUGU
rnacentral:lncRNA from 1 species